rnacentral:rRNA from 1 species
UGGGGAAUUUUGGACAAUGGGCGCAAGCCUGAUCCAGCAAUGCCGCGUGCAGGAUGAAGGCCUUCGGGUUGUAAACUGCUUUUGUACGGAACGAAAAAGCUCUCUCUAAUACAGGGGGUGAAUGACGGUACCGUAAGAAUAAGCACCGGCUAACUCCGUGCCAGCAGCCGCGGUAAUACGGAGGGUGCAAGCGUUAAUCGGAAUUACUGGGCGUAAAGCGUGCGCAGGCGGUUUGUUAAGUCUGCUGCGAAAUCCCCGAGCUCAACUUGGGAAUUGCAGUGGAUACUGGCAAGCUGGAGUACGGUAGAGGCAGGUGGAAUUCACGGUGUAGCAGUGAAAUGCGUAGAGAUCGGGAGGAACACCAGUGGCGAAGGCGGCCUUCUGGACCAGUACUGACGCUCAUGCACGAAAGCGUGGGGAGCAAAC